GGUCUUAUGGUGUAGUGGCAGCACUUGAGACUCUGAAUCUCACGACCUGGGUUCGAAUCCCAGUAGGACCU